rnacentral:rRNA from 1 species
UGGCGGCGUGCUUAACACAUGCAAGUCGAACGGAAAGGCCCUGCUUUUGUGGGGUGCUCGAGUGGCGAACGGGUGAGUAACACGUGAGUAACCUGCCCUUGACUUUGGGAUAACUUCAGGAAACUGGGGCUAAUACCGGAUAGGAGCUCCUGCUGCAUGGUGGGGGUUGGAAAGUUUCGGCGGUUGGGGAUGGACUCGCGGCUUAUCAGCUUGUUGGUGGGGUAGUGGCUUACCAAGGCUUUGACGGGUAGCCGGCCUGAGAGGGUGACCGGCCACAUUGGGACUGAGAUACGGCCCAGACUCCUACGGGAGGCAGCAGUGGGGAAUAUUGCACAAUGGGCGGAAGCCUGAUGCAGCAACGCCGCGUGCGGGAUGACGGCCUUCGGGUUGUAAACCGCUUUCGCCUGUGACGAAGCGUGAGUGACGGUAAUGGGUAAAGAAGCACCGGCUAACUACGUGCCAGCAGCCGCGGUGAUACGUAGGGUGCGAGCGUUGUCCGGAUUUAUUGGGCGUAAAGGGCUCGUAGGUGGUUGAUCGCGUCGGAAGUGUAAUCUUGGGGCUUAACCCUGAGCGUGCUUUCGAUACGGGUUGACUUGAGGAAGGUAGGGGAGAAUGGAAUUCCUGGUGGAGCGGUGGAAUGCGCAGAUAUCAGGAGGAACACCAGUGGCGAAGGCGGUUCUCUGGGCCUUUCCUGACGCUGAGGAGCGAAAGCGUGGGGAGCGAACAGGCUUAGAUACCCUGGUAGUCCACGCUGUAAACGGUGGGUACUAGGUGUGGGGUCCAUUCCACGGGUUCCGUGCCGUAGCUAACGCUUUAAGUACCCCGCCUGGGAGUACGGCCGCAAGGCUAAAACUCAAAGGAAUUGACGGGGCCCCGCACAAGCGACGGAGCAUGCGGAUUAAUUCGAUGCAACGCGUAGAACCUUACCUGGGUUUGACAUGGAUCGGGAGUGCUCAGAGAUGGGUGUGCCUCUUUUGGGGUCGGUUCACAGGUGGUGCAUGGCUGUCGUCAGCUCGUGUCGUGAGAUGUUGGGUUAAGUCCCGCAACGAGCGCAACCCUUGUUCACUGUUGCCAGCACGUUAUGGUGGGGACUCAGUGGAGACCGCCGGGGUUAACUCGGAGGAAGGUGGGGAUGACGUCAAGUCAUCAUGCCCCUUAUGUCCAGGGCUUCACGCAUGCUACAAUGGCUGGUACAGAGAGUGGCGAGCCUGUGAGGGUGAGCGAAUCUCGGAAAGCCGGUCUCAGUUCGGAUUGGGGUCUGCAACUCGACCUCAUGAAGUCGGAGUCGCUAGUAAUCGCAGAUCAGCAACGCUGCGGUGAAUACGUUCCCGGGGCUUGUACACACCGCCCGUCAAGUCAUGAAAGUUGGUAACACCCGAAGCCGGUGGCCUAACCGUUGUGGGGGAGCCGUCGAAGGUGGGACUGGUGAUUAGGACUAAGUCGU